rnacentral:rRNA from 1 species
UGGGGAAUAUUGCACAAUGGGCGCAAGCCUGAUGCAGCCAUGCCGCGUGUAUGAAGAAGGCCUUCGGGUUGUAAAGUACUUUCAGUCGGGAGGAAGGUGUCAAGGUUAAUAACCUUGGCAAUUGACGUUACCGACAGAAGAAGCACCGGCUAACUCCGUGCCAGCAGCCGCGGUAAUACGGAGGGUGCAAGCGUUAAUCGGAAUUACUGGGCGUAAAGCGCACGCAGGCGGUUGAUUGAGUCAGAUGUGAAAUCCCCGGGCUUAACCCGGGAAUUGCAUCUGGUACUGGUCAGCUAGAGUCUUGUAGAGGGGGGUAGAAUUACAUGUGUAGCGGUGAAAUGCGUAGAGAUGUGGUGGAAUACCAGUGGCGAAGGCGGCCCCCUGGACAAAGACUGACGCUCAGGUGCGAAAGAGUGGGGAGCAGACAGG